UUCUGCCCUUGAAAGACGCAUAAUAUGUGGAUAAAAAAGCUUUGAUCCAUUAGUACAGAGAGGGCACUUUUAAGUUGGAUACAUAACAAACACUUAAUAGGAAGAAAUUAUUAUUUCAUGUUCAGGAUAUUAAACAUUAAUAUCAGCUGCAAAUUUCACCUGCAAAACUUUCAGCGGUCUCUCUCCCCUAAAUAACUUCCCAUUACACAUGCCCUACUACACACAGCAGUAAAAUGUACAUGGAGAGCUCUUUCUUGGUAAAAAGCAUCUAUAAAUCAAGGGAAAUCAAAAUCCUUAACCUUAGAAUCUGCAGGUAACUUCCUUAUUACUGGCAUGGAGUUAUGCUGAUGCAAGUGAGGCUUAGUGUUUUCAUUUCUCUUGUAUACAGAUUCAACAACUUGCAAUGCUUUCUCAUUCUUGCACCCCAAUAGGCCAUUUGGGCGGCUUCUUCUAGGCGUUGAUGUUAAACCAGCAGAUUUUGUGCUACUGUUAAACCAGCAGAUUUCGUGCUACUGUCUGCACGUUUCUUUUCAUCGUAAUCUGAAACAGCAGAGAAAUCAGCAGCACUAGCUGUGACGACACUCCACUCAAUGCUGGUCUCGCUUGGCUCAUACCGGAUUGGAGGUGUCAUACAGCCGGAAAUGCCAUCCGAAGUUUGUUUCCUGAACGUUGGCUGUGUGCUGCAGCAUAGGCUCUCUAUCUCGAAAAGGUCUGAACUGGAAUCACUAUCUGCUUCUUCAUACAUUUGACUGCUUGCAGAAGUGGUUGGCAGGGUUUGUGCCUUCGGAAAUGGAAUGGCAUCCCAAGUUAGCACAGAGAGUUUCCUUUCUAGAUUUGAUGCUAUAUCUUCCUUCUUUCUCAUAUGGGAGCCAAACACCUCCAGUGAUUUUCGUGGAUCUUCUUCCAGGGUCUUCUGCUUCUCUCUUUUAACUACUAGGUUUUGCAUCGCAGAAUUCACAGUUGGUAAUACUAAGUAGCCUUCUCUGUUCGAGCCCAAGCUCAUCUUUUCAGAACUUGGACUGCGAAACUCAUCUUUCACCAGAAGUUUUGAUUGAGACUGUUUUCUUCCCUCUAGCAUGAUAGGUUUUCGGGUAACUUCAAACCCACCAUGAGGAAUACUUUUGUCUAUAUAAACAGAUUUCUCAUCGGAACAAUAUCCAUUGCAAGCAAAACCAGGAAAGAACCAUCUUCCAUUCACAUUCUUCCGCCUGCCAUGAGAUGAUGUUCUCCGAGAAUUUGUUAAUAAAGCAGUUCGGCUAUUCCAGUUUGAUUCAGCACUCACCCUUGGAGACUCCGACCUGCCUUUUGGUCUCGAACGGUGAAGAUCAACCCGGUUCUCUGUUGUCUCAUGAGCAAACUUUCCUGCAUUGGCAUCUGCAUUUCCUGUACCUUCAUUGUCCAGUUUCAUGUUGAAAUAUUCCUCAGCCCCAAAGACACUGAUUUCGCCCUCUUCAGGCUUAGUUUUCUCCAAGUUUUUCGGAAUGGAAGUCUCCUGAGUUGAGAUUAUGUCAGGACGAGGAAACUGAGCUGACUGUGUCAGCCUAAGUACAUAGUUCUGCCGUACAGCAGUGAGAUAAGAAAAUGAGGCAUCUCGUAGAUCACGAAGAUCAGAACUCUUGCUUUCCCCAUCCAUAGCUCCUGAAAGGCCGGUAGUGGAAGAAGAUUAAGAAUCUUGGAAAUCCUAUGACAAGGUAAGGAACAUGGAGGCGCAGUUGACUGACAAGAAAAAGAAAAGACAGAAAUUUGAUGCUUGGAAACUUGUGGAGAGUGGAGAAAGCAGAAACUAUAUGUGGAAACGUCUGAAUGAAUUGGGAGUUUCUGGCGACACUAAAGCCAGAACAAGCUUAAAAAGGAAGGGGAUACUGUUUGAAACUGAUUCAACAGAGUUUGG
rnacentral:misc_RNA from 1 species